rnacentral:tRNA from 1 species
UGGGGCUUAGCUUAGUGGUAUAGCACUCGCCUAACAUGUGUGAGAACUUGGGUUCGAUUCCUAGUAGUCCAA